GAUGAACGCUAGCUACAGGCUUAACACAUGCAAGUCGAGGGGAAACGAUGAGAGAGCUUGCUCUCUUAGGCGUCGACCGGCGCACGGGUGAGUAACGCGUAUCCAACCUACCCAUUACAGGGGGAUAACCUUGCGAAAGUAAGACUAAUACCCCAUGGCAUUUUAUGGUGGCAUCAUUAUAGGAUUAAAGAUUUAUUGGUAAUGGAUGGGGAUGCGUCUGAUUAGCUUGUUGGCGGGGUAACGGCCCACCAAGGCAACGAUCAGUAGGGGUUCUGAGAGGAAGGUCCCCCACAUUGGAACUGGGACACGGUCCAAACUCCUACGGGAGGCAGCAGUGAGGAAUAUUGGUCAAUGGGCGAGAGCUUGAACCAGCCAAGUAGCGUGCAGGAUGACGGCCCUAUGGGUUGUAAACUGCUUUUAUAGGGGAAUAAAGUGAGCUACGUGUAGUUUAUUGCAUGUACCCUAUGAAUAAGGACCGGCUAAUUCCGUG
rnacentral:rRNA from 1 species